UUCGUCUGAAAUUCAAGAGGAUGAGAACCUCCGAAGGAGGUUUGAGCCGAGCGGAGCGAGACAACGUUGCUUUAGCAACGGCCCGCAGGGCACGCAUCGAAGAUGCGAGUUAUCCUCUCUCGCCGACCA
rnacentral:sRNA from 1 species